CGAGUUAGACUCAUGGCUUAUGCCAUGAUGUAUAGGCUUUUUGGCCAUCCGAGUCCGUUUAGGGCUUAAAAAUGCUAGUUUUUUUAUUUUUCGAUUAGAGUUGACUAUUUCGAUCGAGCCCUUAACGUUGUCGGAUCCAGUUGAAUUUUCUACCAUAGACAUAUUUCGUCAUAAUGAUCAUAUCUGAUGGUCGUAAUUUUGGUUUGUGAAUUUUAGUCAUCGGAAUCACAACGUGUCUACUAUUUACCGUUAUUCGGGUUUAUGGGGAGCCCUAUCGUCGGAAGGUAAAUGUCUCAAAAUUUUUAUAUGGGCAGUUGCGUCUCAUCUACGUGAGAGUUUUUUGUGUGAAAGGUUUGACCAAACUACGUAAUAUAGAGGGAGAUAUGAGCGUUUUCGUGUGAUAAGUAACGAUCGAUUAGGGUUGACCGUUUCGAUCGAGCCCUUAACGUUGUCGGAUCUAAUUGAACUUUUUACCACAAACAUCUUACGUCAUAAUGAUCAUAUCUGACGGUCAAAUUUUGGUUUGUGAAUUUUAGUCAUCAAAAUCACAACGUGUCUACUAAUGUUGUAUAACUUGUUUAAUAGGUUAUACAACUUUGUAAACCAACUCUACAUAGGAAGCAAAAUUAUCAAAAAUCUUGUGAAAUAAGAUGUGUUCAGAAUGGUGAAAUACGGCUAUGGUUCAAAAAUCAUGUAAAUCGGGUAAAGUCUCGGUGCCGAUAGUAGCGGUCAACAUUAUUUACCGUUAUUAUUCCCUAUGAGGAGCCCUAUCGUCGGAAGGCAAAUGUCUCAAAUUUUUUAUAUAGGCGGUUGCGUCUCAUCUACGUGAGAGUUUUUCGUGUGGAAGGUUUGACCAAACUACGUAAUAUAGGGGGAGAUAUGAGCGUUUUCGUGAAUUUAUAGACUUUAGCCGACGAGAUAUUAAAAAAGUCGUCGGCUAAGGUCAAAAAAAUUUCAAAAUUUUUUGGGCGGUAAACCAAAGUUGGAGGAAAAUUUUCAAAGAACUUUAGCCGAGGAAAAUAUAUGAAAAGUCGUCGGCUAAAGUCGAAAAA
rnacentral:lncRNA from 1 species